rnacentral:rRNA from 1 species
GACGAACGCUGGCGGCGUGCUUAACACAUGCAAGUCGAACGGACAGGCCCUGCUUUUGUGGGGUGCUCGAGUGGCGAACGGGUGAGUAACACGUGAGUAACCUGCCCUUGUCUUUGGGAUAACUCCAGGAAACUGGGGCUCAUACCGGAUAGGAGAUCCUGCUGCAUGGUGGGGGUUGGAAAGUUUCGGCGGUUGGGGAUGGACUCGCGGCUUAUCCGCUUGUUGGUGGGGUAGUGGCUUACCAAGGCUUCGACGGCUAGCCGGCCUGAGAGGGUGACCGGCCACAUUAGGACUGAGAUACGGCGCAGACGCCUACGGGAGGCAGCAGUGGAGAAUAUUGCACAAUGGGCGGAAGCCUGAUACAGCAACGCCGCGUGCGGGAUGACGGCCUACGGGUUGUAAACCGCUGUCGCCGGUGACGAAGCGUGAGUGACGGUAAUGGGUAAAGAAGCACCGGCUAACUACGUG